AACGCGAAGAACCUUACCAGGGCUUAAAUGUGGUUUGACAGCUUUAGAGAUAGAGUUUUCUUCGGACAAAUCACAAGGUGCUGCAUGGUUGUCGUCAGCUCGUGCCGUGAGGUGUCAGGUUAAGUCCUAUAACGAGCGCAACCCCUGUUGUUAGUUGCCAGCAUGUCAAGAUGGGGACUCUAACGGGACUGCCGGUGCAAACCGUGAGGAAGGUGGGGACGACGUCAAAUCAUCACGGCCCUUACGUCCUGGGCUACACACGUGCUACAAUGGCCGGUACAGAGGGAAGCCACCCCGCAAGGGGGCGCGGAUCUACAAAACCGGUCACAGUUCGGAUCGGGGUCUGCAACUCGACCCCGUGAAGCUGGAAUCGCUAGUAAUCGGAUAUCAGCCAUGAUCCGGUGAAUACGUUCCCCGGGUCUGUACACACCG
rnacentral:rRNA from 1 species